GAUUAACGCUGGCGGCGUGCAUAACACAUGCAAGUCGAACGAUGAAACUUAAAUGAUUUCUUCGGAAUGUACUUAAGUGGCUUAGUGGCGGACGGGUGAGUAACGCGUGAGUAGCCUGCCUUACACAAGGGGAUAGCCGGUGGAAACGGCGAAUAAUCCCCUAUGAAACUAUCACUUCGCAUAAAACGAUAUUCAAAGUGUUAGCGGUGUAAGAUCGACUUGCGUCUGAUUAGCUAGGUGGAGAGGAAAAGGCUGACCAAGGCGAUGAUCAGUAUCCGACCUGAGAGGGUGAACGGCCACAUUGGGACUGAGACACGGCCCAGACUCCUACGGGAGGCAGCAGUAGGGAAUCUUCGGCGAUGGACGAAAGUCUGACCGAGCAACGCCGCGGGAGUGAAGAAGGGUUUCGGAUCGGAAAAAUCUGUUGGUAGAGAAGAACGUUGGUGAGAGUGGAAAGCUCAUCAAGUGACGGUAACUACCCAGAAAGGGACGGCUAACUACGUG
rnacentral:rRNA from 1 species